rnacentral:rRNA from 2 species
GGUGAGUAAUGCCUAGGAAAUUGCCCUGAUGUGGGGGAUAACCAUUGGAAACGAUGGCUAAUACCGCAUGAUGCCUACGGGCCAAAGAGGGGGACCUUCGGGCCUCUCGCGUCAGGAUAUGCCUAGGUGGGAUUAGCUAGUUGGUGAGGUAAGGGCUCACCAAGGCGACGAUCCCUAGCUGGUCUGAGAGGAUGAUCAGCCACACUGGAACUGAGACACGGUCCAGACUCCUACGGGAGGCAGCAGUGGGGAAUAUUGCACAAUGGGCGCAAGCCUGAUGCAGCCAUGCCGCGUGUGUGAAGAAGGCCUUCCGGUUGUAAAGCACUUU